rnacentral:lncRNA from 1 species
UAUUGGCUCAGACCACGGAACUGCCCUUUGAUACCAAUUGCAAGUUCUCUGACCCACUGUGGAUCCAUGCUCAGUCUGCAUACAACACUCAGAAAUGACAUUCUCGGAAGAAUGCAAUUGCUUUCCCAGAGGUCUAGGCAGCCACGUGGCAUCCUGGCGCUUCAGUGUGGAGGCCAGAAGAGGAGAGGAAUCCUCACCAAACAGUCAGGGACAGAUCAUCGAGAGAGAAGGAAUCUACAUUCCCUCGCCAAAUGCAACACUAGAAGUGAACACAGACUUGGAAGUUGGCAACGUGCUUGAGAAAUGCUAGGGUGACUUAUCUGGGCUGCAGGCAAGGGAGCAAAGUGACCCAUGGGGCCAAUCACCAACACAGGAUCCACCAAGUAUUGAAUGA